rnacentral:rRNA from 1 species
UCUGCCUUCAAGUAGGGAAUAACAUUGCGAAAGCGAUGCUAAUACCGUAUAAGCUCACGAUUUGACUGGUUGUGGGAAAAGAUGGCCUAGUCUAUGCUAUCGCUUGAAGAUGAGUCCGCGUACCAUUAGCUUGUUGGUAGGGUAAUGGCCUACCAAGGCUUCGAUGGUUAGCUGGCCUGAGAGGGCGGCCAGCCACACUGGGACUGAGACACGGCCCAG